AGUGAACGCUGGCGGUAGGCCUAACACAUGCAAGUCGAACGGCAGCACAGUAAGAGCUUGCUCUUACGGGUGGCGAGUGGCGGACGGGUGAGGAAUACAUCGGAAUCUACUUUUUCGUGGGGGAUAACGUAGGGAAACUUACGCUAAUACCGCAUACGACCUACGGGUGAAAGCAGGGGAUCUUCGGACCUUGCGCGAUUGAAUGAGCCGAUGUCGGAUUAGCUAGUUGGCGGGGUAAAGGCCCACCAAGGCGACGAUCCGUAGCUGGUCUGAGAGGAUGAUCAGCCACACUGGAACUGAGACACGGUCCAGACUCCUACGGGAGGCAGCAGUGGGGAAUACUGGACAAUGGGCGCAAGCCUGAUCCAGCCAUACCGCGUGGGUGAAGAAGGCCUACGGGUUGUAAAGCCCUUUUGUUGGGAAAGAAAAGCAGCAGGUUAAUACCCCGCUGUUCUGACGGUACCCAAAGAAUAAGCACCGGCUAACUUCGUG
rnacentral:rRNA from 1 species